rnacentral:rRNA from 1 species
CAAUAGUGGCGCACGGGUGCGUAACGCGUAACCAACCUACCCGAAUCUGGGGGAUAGCCCGCCGAAAGGCGGAUUAAUACCGCAUAAAGCCACAGAGUGGCAUCACUUAAUGGUUAAAGAUUUAUUGGAUUCGGAUGGGGUUGCGUGCCAUUAGCUAGUUGGGGAGGUAACGGCUCACCAAGGCGACGAUGGCUAGGGGAGCUGAGAGGCUGGUCCCCCACACGGGCACUGAGAUACGGGCCCGACUCCUACGGGAGGCAGCAGUAGGGAAUAUUGGGCAAUGGGCGAGAGCCUGACCCAGCCAUGCCGCGUGCAGGAUGACGGUCCUAUGGAUUGUAAACUGCUUUUAUACAGGAAGAAACACUCGGACGUGUCCGAGCUUGACGGUACUGUAGGAAUAAGGAUCGGCUAACUCCGUGCCAGCAGCCGCGGUAAUACGGAGGAUCCAAGCGUUAUCCGGAAUCAUUGGGUUUAAAGGGUCCGUAGGCGGUCAGAUAAGUCAGUGGUGAAAGCCCAUCGCUCAACGGUGGAACGGCCAUUGAUA